rnacentral:rRNA from 1 species
AAUCUACCCGCGGCUAGACGGAAAGACCCCGUGAACCUUUACUGCAGCUUUGCAUUGAACUGUGAACCGAUUUGUGUAGGAUAGGUGGGAGGCAGAGAAACGUGUACGCCAGUACGCGCGGAGCCAACCUUGAAAUACCACCCUGAUUUGUUUGCGGUUCUAACCCGGGACAGUGACCCUGUUCGGGGACCGUGCAUGGUAGGCAGUUUGACUGGGGCGGUCUCCUCCUAAAGGGUAACGGAGGAGUACGAAGGUACGCUAGGUACGGUCGGAAAUCGUGCUGAUAGUGCAAUGGCAAAAGCGUGCUUGACUGCGAGAGCAACAACUCGAGCAGAUGCGAAAGCAGGUCAUAGUGAUCCGGUGGCUCUGAAUGGAAGGGCCAUCGCUCAACGGAUAAAAGGUACUCCGGGGAUAACAGGCUGAUACCGCCCAAGAGUUCAUAUCGACGGCGGUGUUUGGCACCUCGAUGUCGGCUCAUCGCAUCCUGGGGCUGUAGUCGGUCCCAAGGGUUGGGCUGUUCGCCCAUUAAAGCGGUACGCGAGCUGGGUUCAGAACGUCGUGAGACAGUUCGGUCCCUAUCCGUCGCGGGCGUAGGAAAUUUGAGAGGAUCUGUCCUUAGUACGAGAGGACCGGGAUGGACAUACCGCUGGUGUACCAGUUGUUCUGCCAAGGGCAUCGCUGGGUAGCUAUGUAUGGAUGAGAUAAACGCUGAAAGCAUCUAAGUGCGAAACUCACCUCGAGAUAAGAUUUCCCAUUCCUUUAUGGAAGUAAGACCCCUGAGAGAUGAUCAGGUAGAUAGGAUGGAAGUGGAAGUACGGUGACGUAUGGAGCGGACCAUUACUAAUCGGUCGAGGACUUAACCAA